CCCGCUCCGUUCUGUAAAGAACAAAUUUGCGUGCGUUAUAUUAGAUUAUAAAUUACUGUUGCCUAUAUCUAGCCUACAUUCUGUAGGUCUACCUAUUGGUUCGGGUCAGUUUUUUUUAUUUUUUUAUAAUAUUUUAAUAGGCCUAAGUGGUGUAGGCUAAUAUCUUCUGUACUCUGUAGUUCUGUAUUUAGGUCUAUAUACAGCUGUGUGUUAUCUUAGGUCUACAGUUUAACUGAGAUUAUUUAAUAACUACGGAGCUCCGAAUAUAAUUCGAAUUAACAAUUCGUUUCUACGACGUCAGCAGGUUUGAUAAUUUUUUUAAUUUAUUUAUUAUUAUUUAUUAAUUUUAAGCAAUAAUGAUUUUAAUAAGUAAUUACGAAAUAUAAUAAUUCGUUCCACGAUUUAGGCCUACUAUAGGGAAUGAACGAAUUAACGAACGAAUGAAUUCGUGGCAGCUAAGCCUAAACAAGAGAACGAAUACUUAAUUCGUGGCCAUAAUGUAGUCCUAGCAUAAAAGAGAACUAGCCUAUUCUAAAUUCGUGGCUGUGAUUUUGUCUGCAUGUCAUGAUCGGGGCUCCGUACAACCGAAUAUAACCUUAGCCUACCUGUUUAUUCAUUUAUUAUGGUAUGUAACUAGCUCACCUUUUGCUGCACCAUGUUUGCAUACAUCUUCGUGCUUUCUGUAAUCAAUAUGAAUCUGUACUAACUUUAACAGUCUCCCCGCACUCCCUCUCAGUUUCUUCUCCCUGCUCAUUCUUAACUUAGAUUUUUUUACUUUACAUUUAUGUA